rnacentral:rRNA from 1 species
AUACGGAGGAUGCAAGCGUUAUCCGGAUUUAUUGGGUUUAAAGGGUGCGUAGGCGGUUUGCUAAGCGGGAGGUGAAAUGCCGGCGCUCAACGUCGGAAGUGCCUCCCGAACUGGUGGACUUGAAUGACUCUGCCGUGGGAGGAAUGUGUAGUGUAGCGGUGAAAUGCUUAGAGAUUACACAGAACACCGAUUGCGAAGGCAUCUCACGAAGGGUUGAUUGACGCUGAGGCACGAAAGCGUGGGGAUCAAACAGGAUUAGAUACCCUGGUAGUCCACGCAGUAAACGAUGAUGGCUAACCGCUGGGCUUAUCAGUUCAGUGGCCAAGCGAAAGCGAUAAGGCAUCCACCUGGGGAGUACGACCGCAAGGUUGAAACUCAAAUGAAUUGACGGGG